UACGUAGGGUGCGAGCGUUAAUCGGAAUUACUGGGCGUAAAGCGUGCGCAGGCGGUGAUGUAAGACAGGUGUGAAAUCCCCGGGCUUAACCUGGGAACUGCAUUUGUGACUGCAUCGCUGGAGUACGGCAGAGGGGGAUGGAAUUCCGCGUGUAGCAGUGAAAUGCGUAGAUAUGCGGAGGAACACCGAUGGCGAAGGCAAUCCCCUGGGCCUGUACUGACGCUCAUGCACGAAAGCG
rnacentral:rRNA from 1 species